CCUACGGGGGGCAGCAGUGAGGAAUAUUGGUCAAUGGACGAGAGUCUGAACCAGCCAAGUAGCGUGAAGGAUGACUGCCCUAUGGGUUGUAAACUUCUUUUAUAUGGGAAUAAAAUGUUCCACGUGUGGGAUUUUGUAUGUACCAUAUGAAUAAGGAUCGGCUAACUCCGUGCCAGCAGCCGCGGUAAUACGGAGGAUCCGAGCGUUAUCCGGAUUUAUUGGGUUUAAAGGGAGCGUAGGUGGAUUGUUAAGUCAGUUGUGAAAGUUUGCGGCUCAACCGUAAAAUUGCAGUUGAAACUGGCAGUCUUGAGUACAGUAGAGGUGGGCGGAAUUCGUGGUGUAGCGGUGAAAUGCUUAGAUAUUACGAAGAACUCCGAUUGCGAAGGCAGUUCACUGGACUGCAACUGACACUGAGGCUCGAAAGUGUGGGUAUCAAACAGGAUUAGAUACCCCUGUAGUC
rnacentral:rRNA from 1 species